CACGUAGGGCGCAAGCGUUUGUCCGGAAUUAUUGGGCGUAAAGAGCUCGUAGGCGGUCUGUUACGUCGGCUGUGAAAACCCAGGGCUUAACCCUGGGCUUGCAGUGGAUACGGGCAGACUAGAGGCAGGUAGGGGAGAAUGGAAUUCCUGGUGUAGCGGUGAAAUGCGCAGAUAUCAGGAAGAACACCCGUGGCGAAGGCGGUUCUCUGGAACGCAACUGACGCUGAGACGCGAAAGCGUGGGGAGCAAACAGG
rnacentral:rRNA from 1 species